UGGGGAAUUUUGGACAAUGGGCGAAAGCCUGAUCCAGCAAUGCCGCGUGUGUGAAGAAGGCCUUCGGGUUGUAAAGCACUUUUGUCCGGAAAGAAAUCCUUGGCUCUAAUACAGUCGGGAGAUGACGGUACCGGAAGAAUAAGCACCGGCUAACUACGUGCCAGCAGCCGCGGUAAUACGUAGGGUGCAAGCGUUAAUCGGAAUUACUGGGCGUAAAGCGUGCGCAGGCGGUUUGCUAAGACCGAUGUGAAAUCCCCGGGCUCAACCUGGGAACUGCAUUGGUGACUGGCAGGCUAGAGUAUGGCAGAGGGGGGUAGAAUUCCACGUNUAGCAGUGAAAUGCGUAGAGAUGUGGAGGAAUACCGAUGGCGAAGGCAGCCCCCUGGGCCAAAUACUGACGCUCAUGCACGAAAGCGUGGGGAGCAAACAGGAUUAGAUACCCUGGUAGUCCACGCCCUAAAACGAUGUCAACUAGUUGUUGGGGAUUCAUUUCCUUAGUAACGUAGCUAACGCGUGAAGUUGACCGCCUGGGGAGUACGGUCGCAAAGAUUAAAACUCAAAGGAAUUGACGGGGUCAUAGCUG
rnacentral:rRNA from 1 species